rnacentral:rRNA from 1 species
GACGAACGCUGGCGGCGUGCUUAACACAUGCCAGUCGAACGGAAAGGCCCUGCUUUUGUGGGGUGCUCGAGUGGCGAACGGGUGAGUAACACGUGAGUAACCUGCCCUUGACUUUGGGAUAACUUCAGGAAACUGGGGCUAAUACCGGAUAGGAGCUCCUGCUGCAUGGUGGGGGUUGGAAAGUUUCGGCGGUUGGGGAUGGACUCGCGGCUUAUCAGCUUGUUGGUGGGGUAGUGGCUUACCAAGGCUUUGACGGGUAGCCGGCCUGAGAGGGUGACCGGCCACAUUGGGACUGAGAUACGGCUCAGACUCCUACGGGGGGCAGCAGUGGGGAAUAUUGCACAAUGGGCGGAAGCCUGAUGCAGCAACGCCGCGUGCGGGAUGACGGCCUUCGGGUUGUAAACCGCUUUCGCCUGUGACGAAGCGUGAGUGACGGUAAUGGGUAAAGAAGCACCGGCUAACUACGUG